UGGGUUGUGGCUCAGCAGUAGAGUGCUCGCCUGGCACGUGUGAGGCACUGGGUUGGAUCCUCAGCACCACAU
rnacentral:tRNA from 1 species